GCGGUGAAAUGCGUAGAUAUCGUUUGGAACGCCAAAGGCGAAAGCAGACGACUGGGGCUGAGCUGACGCUGAGACACGAAAGCCAGGGGAGCAAACGGGAUUAGAUACCCCGGUAGUCCUGGCCCUAAACGAUGUCCACUGGAUCGUGGUUCCUCUGAAGGAUUCACGGUCGGAGCAAAAGUGUUAAGUGGACCGCCUGGGAAGUACGGUCGCAAGGCUAAAACUCAAAGGAAUUGACGG
rnacentral:rRNA from 1 species